GACGAACGCUGGCGGCGUGCCUAAUACAUGCAAGUCGAACGCAGUGGGGACGGGUGAGUAAUACGUGGGUAACCUCCCAUCAGAGGGGAUAACACUUGGAAACAGGUGCUAAACCGAUACUGAUGGAUGGACCCGCGGUGCAUUAGCUAGUUGGUGAGGUAACGGAUCACCAAGGCCACGAUGCAUAGGCGACCUGGGAGGGUAGUCAGCCACACUGUGACUGAAACGCGGCCCAGACUCCUACGGGAGGCAGCGGUAGAGGAUGUUCGGCGAUGGACGAAAGUCUAGCCGGACAACGCCACGUGAGUGAAGAAGGUUUUCGGAUCGUAGUACUCUGUUGUUAGAGAAGCGGUAUCUAACCAGAAAGCCACGGCUAACUACGUGCCAGCAGCCGCGGUAAUAC
rnacentral:rRNA from 1 species